rnacentral:misc_RNA from 1 species
AAGGAGCGUCUGGCUGGUCUGUCCCGUUGGGGGUGGGCUGGUCCAGGGCCAGGGCCGGAUGUGUAUGCCGGUCUGGUUGCUCGAGGGUGUGGACGCUGAUGAUGUGGCUGCCUGCUUGUCUGGUGCCUAGUACUCCUGCUUUUGGGUGGGGUGGAACGGGGCUGGGUGGUGUGGGUGGUCCGUGGCGCGCUGUUGGGUCCUGAGGGAGUCAGGCCGGUUGUGGCUUGAACUUUCUUGAUCCGCUUUUUGUGGGUGCCCCUGUCCUCCUGUGUGGGGGGUGGGGGUGUUCCGCGAGGGUGGUGCGGGCUGGUCGUCGCGGGAUACUGCCUUCUUUUGUGGGGGUGAGUUCCGCUGGUGCGGCUGGUUGCCGUCCGUACGUUGAGAACUGCACAGUGGACGCGAGCAUCUUUGU